UUGAUCUUCUGUUCUCUCUUC
ensembl:piRNA 21ur-6671 ncRNA